UUUUUUGUUUUCUGUAUAAUAAGAUGCAGGGGACACACUGUAUUACUUUGCAUAGAGCUCUGAGAAAUAUUAAAGCAAAAGAAAAAAACAUGUGUUCUUAGUAUGAUAGUUAUUUAACAACAGAAAUAAUGUUAUUCAAAUGCCUAUAACCCCUUUUACAGAUUUUUUUUUUUUUGUCCUGUCUGGCGAUGUGUCUAUAAGAAUAAUUGUCUUGAUGCCAAAUAGAGUCCAACUGAUUUUGCUUUUGUCAGGAAUCCAGUUUGUGUGGUCUGUUUUGUGUCUGUCUCUACCUCCACCACCAGGUGGCGCCCUAUCAUUAUUGGUCCUCCUUGCACCCUGUGGCUCUUUGGAUCAUUAUCUGGAGGAGUACUUAAGCAGUGGACUGUCACUACCUUGACGCCAGAGUGUUUGCCAUGUUUUGGGAAGUCCUCCUGUGUACUAUGUUUGUCAUUCUUCCCCUGGAAGGAUUGUUUACUGAGUUCACACUGAGCAGGGGAGAAACCUCCACAUGUGCCGUUCAAGUCCCUUACGGAAAUCCAAGGAACAGUUUGCUCCAUUGCUCCUCCGGGUCCUUAGUAUGUCUAUCAGUCCACUCUUCAACAAGUCCCCUCUUCUCAGGAUCAACCCACACAUUCUGGAUUCAGAGUGAGAAAAGAACCCCCCCAAACACUUUUUAGUUCCUGUUCACCAGCUUUCUGAGUUCCAGAUCUACCCCGUUCAACCCUAACUCAAUAAACCUGUUAA